rnacentral:rRNA from 1 species
AGAGUUUGAUUAUGGCUCAGGAUGAACGCUGGCGGCGUGCCUAACACAUGCAAGUCGAACGAAGCGCAUGCCUGGAACCCUCCGGGGGGAAGGGCAUAUGACUGAGUGGCGGACGGGUGAGUAACGCGUGGGCAACCUGCCCCGCACUGGGGGACAACAGCCGGAAACGGCUGCUAAUACCGCAUAUGCGCACAGCUUUGCAUGAAGCAGUGUGGAAAACUCCGGUGGUGCGGGAUGGGCCCGCGUCUGAUUAGCUGGUUGGCGGGGCAACGGCCCACCAAGGCGACGAUCAGUAGCCGGCCUGAGAGGGUGGACGGUCACAUUGGGACUGAGACACGGCCCAAACUCCUACGGGAGGCAGCAGUGGGGGAUAUUGCACAAUGGGGGGAACCCUGAUGCAGCGACGCCGCGUGAGCGAAGAAGUACCUCGGUAUGUAAAGCUCUAUC